GGGUCGAUGGCGUAGUUGGGUCAUCGCAUCUGUCUAACACGCAUGUCCUUCACAGAAGGUCCUCAGUUCGAACCUGGGUCGACUCA